GACGUAGGGUGCAAGCGUUGUCCGGAAUUAUUGGGCGUAAAGAGCUUGUAGGCGGUUUGUCGCGUCUGCCGUGAAAAUUCGAGGCUCAACCUCGAACUUGCGGUGGGUACGGGCAGACUAGAGUGUGGUAGGGGAGACUGGAAUUCCUGGUGUAGCGGUGAAAUGCGCAGAUAUCAGGAGGAACACCGAUGGCGAAGGCAGGUCUCU
rnacentral:rRNA from 1 species